CACCCCACCCUCCCAAAAAAAAAAAAAAAAAAACUUUAGCGUGGGGCGUCGGAGAUAGGAGGAGUGGUCUCUCGUCUCAGUCUGUUCGCCUCCAGUCGUAAGAUUGUUGUAUAAGUUGGAAUUGGCAGUUGGUGGGAUUGAUAAGGUUUUGCAAAGAUGGCUAAUCUACAAAUGACCGGCAUUCUUGAGAAGAUGACGGGCAAGGAUAAAGAUUAUAGGUAUAUGGCAACAUCUGAUUUGCUAAAUGAAUUAAACAAGGAAUCAUUCAGAGCUGAUACUGACUUGGAGAUAAAGUUGACAACCAUCAUUCUGCAGCAGCUUGAUGAUGUUGCCGGUGAUGUUUCUGGAUUGGCUGU